UCGUCACCUACGUUUGCUGGUGCCGAAUGCAUUGAUCUUAAUUGUACUUGGGUGGAGUUGGUGAAGUUUGACCCUUGCUUCCUUUAUACAUAUUUCGUCACUGAUUAAAGGCAUAUUUCUUGCUGAUCUUCGUGUUUAAGGCUUUUGAAAAAUUCAUCUGUGAUAUGAUUCUUUGGAUAUAUUGAUGUAGCAUGAUGGCUGAAUAUGUGUUUCCUUGUUGACAACAAUUACGCUUAGCAUUAUAUACAUUGAGGUUUGCCGAAGACUUAGUCUAACCAUAGUGGGAUCUCGAGUUGGGGAAGAAUUUUUGAUCUGGCCGCAAACAGGAUAUCCAGAGGAGCUGUUCAAGGUAACUUCAGGACACAGUCUGUUUGCAAUUGUCAAUGGAAGGUGUGUCGAAGACCCUAGAUCAAAGGCAUCGGAUUUAACAAGCAAUUCACUGUCAGGGCUUGAGAUAGCUACAAACCUAGACAUUAUUGGGAUUGCUUUAGCCAAUCUUGUUAGGCUUCACUGGAAACUUGCUUUAAGAUCAACUCAUGAACUGAUGCUGACUUCUCCACUCAGGCAUGUUCACAAUGCUCAUGAUAAACUUUACAAAAUCACUAAUUCAAAGGCACCUCUGUUACGACCCCAAGAACUUAGAUAAGUUAAAUGCCUCACUAGAUGCGGAUGAGUUAAAUGCAGACGAGUUGACCACCUACCAGAUUUGCAGCAAAAUGUUAUUUGUUCUUUUUCUGCAAUAUCUUGUUCCUCACUUAGGAUGAAGGAAUAUCAUUUAAAUUAGUUACUUUUUGCUGUCGUGUUGCAUUUUGUGAGACAUUCAGCUUUGGUGAGCUUGGUUGGCAGAAUAGACUGUCAACUACAUGGUCUUUAAUUGUUUCUAUUACCUAACAUGUGACUAAUAAAGUUGAUGAGUUAAUGUGCAGACUGAUGUCUUAAAUUGAUGAGGACUUGUGCAUAUUGAUUUUUGAAGACUAGUUGCUCUUGUGGGGGUCAAGAAAGCCUUCAAUCCAUUUUAGUUUGUAUCAGUUUGUUUCUAUCAAAUUCAAGCUGUUU